GGUCGCCACCGCACCAAAAUGGCGGCCCUCCGCCGCGCCCUCCUCCUUUGCUUCCAGUUGAGGUGUUGGGGCCGGGGGUCAGGGCGUUAGCGAAGCUUUGUUUGCUCUGGACCCAGAAGAGCUCAGAUCCUUAGAGGACAAGGAUGACCCCGAUGCGAAGGGGUAGGUGCCUGGUACAAGCAGACCCCAGACCUGCCCUGGCCAUUCCCCACUAAGAGGACAUCCUCUUAAUUUCCCGUUUGGGGCUACCAUGAAAAGGACUGCUCUGAAGAUUUUUGUCUCUCUGGUAAAACCUUGGCUUUCCUAGCAUCCCUCAGGCCUCAGUUCACGUGUCACCUGUAGAGCCUUUCCUCUGCUCCCCAGGCCUGGGGAGGAAGUACACCAGUAUGAUGGAGAUUGGUGGAGGUGAAGGCAGCACCAGGGAAGGACCUGCAUUAGCACGUUGGGCGGAUACCAUCACUUGAAAAUAAAACUGGAUCCUACCCUCUAAGCACAAAAAGGAGAUUGGGGUCCUUAGCUUUAAAAUAACAAUGGUGCUCCCUUCCCAAGGCUGACUUCAGGCAAACCGGGAUAGCAAUUGACCAACUGAACAUCCAUCCGACUUAAGGUCAUAGGCCUUCAGAGCUCUCCAUGUGAAUUCAAACUGAGAUGUCAUGGGACCUGAAAGCAACAGUAGAAAAACUAUAGUCCAGACUUUCACAAACUAAUUUGAUAUGGCACAUUUGGGUUUCAAAUACAUCAACAGAAGCUCCAAAUGUUGAGCCAGGACCAGGAAGAGUCUGGCUCAGUGUGACGUUCUUUUUAAGGUAAGCACCACAAAGGCAAGAUCUGUGUAUCCUCAAUGCCUUGUAUUGAGAGAAAUCAUUGUUGAAUUGUUAAAUGGACACUUUAAAUUCUUUCAUGUUUAGUUUUUUGAGGGGGGGGGAAUAGAAACAAUGUUGACUGAAAAAAGAAAACCUGUCCAUAAUGAAGCACUAGGGUCUGAGGCUUUUUCCUUGCGUAACCUGUGGUAAGUCAAUUAAAUUUCAUGAGUUUUGAUUUCAUGGGAUCAUAAAUUAAGAGUUUGAAGAGAUUAUAGUGGUGAUUGAUCCAAAAUUCACCUUAUAGUUGAUAAAAGUGAAUCUUACAGAAGUUAAGUGGCUUUCUCGGCAUCGCACAAUGAGGAAAUGCUUGAGGUGGAAUUUAAAAUCCAGGCCUUCAUGCUUGCAAUUCCAGUGUUCUAUUCACCAAACCAGCUUCCCUCUCAUCCUUUGUAAGGUGAUGGAUUGGACUAAAUUGUCUCUGAUAUCCCUUCAACAUAUAAGCCUGUGAGUCUGUGCCCACAAACCCAAAGAAUCACUUAAGAAAUCUGGAUUUAUGUCCUUCAUCUCCUUUCUUUAACUAAAGAGGAAAACAAACCCAAGAAAAAUCAAGUCAUUCUGACCAAAGGACUUUCUGUCAGUGGCAGAAGCAGGACAAGAAUGCAGGUCUCCUGAUUUCCUAGUGGCCAUGAAAACUGGAGCGUUAGAGGAAAGGAAGACACAAAGAAACCACUACAAAGAAAAAUUUGUGAGGAAAAAAAACUGAUCAUAUAGUUAUCCCUCCCCAGUCCAUCUUUACAGGCCUGGGACCACAUGAGGCCAUCCAUCCAGGAGAUCCAUUAAAAUAUAAUAAAAUUUACUGAUACAGAGUGAGGUGAGCAGAACUAGGAGAACAUUAUACAUAGUA